rnacentral:rRNA from 1 species
GUGGAUUAGAUACCCUGGUAGUCCACGCCGUAAACGAUGAUAACUAGCUGUUGGGGCUCUUUGAGCUCCAGUGGCGCAGCUAACGCAUUAAGUUAUCCGCCUGGGGAGUACGGCCGCAAGGUUAAAACUCAAAGGAAUUGACGGGGGCCUGCACAAGCGGUGGAGCAUGUGGUUUAAUUCGAAGCAACGCGCAGAACCUUACCAGCGUUUGACAUGCCCGGACGAUUUCCAGAGAUGGAUUUCUUCUCGCAAGAGACUGGGACACAGGUGCUGCAUGGCCGUCGACAGCU